rnacentral:sRNA from 1 species
GGGCUCUCUGAAAGUGAUGCCAAGGCUGCGGUUUCCACCAACUGCCGAGCAGCGCUUCUCCAUGGAGAAACUAGAAAAACUGCUUUUGGAAUUAUUUCUACAGUGAAGAAACCUCGGCCAUCAGAAGAUGAAGAUUGUCUUCCAGCUUCCAAGAAAGCCAAGUGGUCUCACUCUGUCACCCAGGCUGGAGUGCAGUGGCACAAUCUCGGCUCACUGCAACCUUUGCCUCUUGGGCUCAAGCCAUCCUCCCACCUCAGCCUCCCAAGAACUAGAAUUCAAGAAAGACAACUUUGGAUCUCUCGUCAGAGAGAUCAUACUCCCAAGAACAGGCUUUGACCCUUCUGUAAAAGGAGGGCAAGUCAUGGACAAUCUCUUUUUCUUACCACAGGUCUUAGGACCUGGCUUAGCACCUAGCCAAGAACUACUGGCGUACCUCCUUUUAUUGUGCUUCAAUUUAUUGUGUUUGCAAAUACUGAAUUUUUUACAAAUUGAAGAUUUGUGGCACCUCUGUAAACAGCAAGUCUAUCGGUGCCAUUUUUUCAACAUCAUGUGCCUGUUUCCUGUCUCUCUCAUGUCACAUUUUGGUAAUUUUCACAAUAUUAAAAACUUUUUCAUUAUUA